CAAUUUCCCAGCCGCCUCCGUCCACGCACCAACUGCCUCCUAGCUCCCUCCUUCUCCACGAACCCGAGACCCUGACCCCCGAGCCGCCGCCUAGCUAGCUUCCUUCUGUCCCCCGUCACCCCGCGCCCGGCCUCCUCCCUCCUCCACGGCUCCCUCCGCUGCCCCGCCUCCUCUCCUCCACGGCUCCGUCUGCCACCCCGCCUCCUCCUUUUUCCACGGCUUUGUCUGCCAUCCCACCCCCAUGUCUCGCCAGUCCGCCUCCCCGCAAUCUUGCUUCCUCGACGGCUCUAGCACCACUCUGCCGCCUCCUCCAGUAGCCCUCUAGCGGGCGAGACCGCGGGAGCUUUAUGGAUGGCACCGGAGCUGAAGAUCGACGCCGCCGCAAGCUACGGCGCCAAAAAGCUCGAAGCCUCUCCUCCGACCGGGGACAUCAUCCUCUCCUCCAACGCCGCCACGGCUUCCUGCGCCCCCAGUUCGACGUCGCUCCUCUCCUACGGCGGUAACCCGUACCCGUGGCGGGUACGGAUAUGGUAAAAUUUCAUACCCUCAGAUUUGCACCGCCGGAUAGAUCUCUGGCCGUUGUUCGCGCCUGGGCCUCGCCCGCUGGCUGGGCCAGGAAAAUCGCAGCAAAUCCGUGAACUGGGCCAGGUUAUAGCCCACACAGCCAUCGUGCAGUUAGUUAGCCCACGAGGGAAAAAAAAAAUGAAGGUCGAUCCCUUGUGCUGCCUCCCCCUGGAGCCUGGAACGGCCGCCGCCCCUGCGCGCGAUGCGGUUCCUCCUCCGGGCCCUUCCGAUCCCCUCCUCUCCCGACCUAGGCAGGCUCUCGCCGCCACUGCCGUUCCUCCGGCCUCCAUCACUUGCCCUUCAUCGAUCUAGGCCAGACGAGAAGGUCGUGUUCCAGAAGGUGAGGGAUUUGUCCGUCUUGGGGGCCGGGAGGACGAGGAGCGGGCGGCAGCGAUGAGGCGGUUGGCGUAGACUAUCUCUUCAGCGCUUCUUCUACCACAGAUUGAUUACAAGUCGCAAUGGCAAGCGCUAAAAGAGGAUAUUCCAAGAUCGAACCUAAGUCUGGUAGAUAUUCCAAGAAAGCUGACCUGCAGGUUUUGACUCUAAAGGCAGGGGGGCAUGGAGCGGCGGCCGAUGACUAAACGCGAUCACCAGAUCGAGCCAUACUCUCCAUAGAUGCGUGCAUUCGAGUGCACAGUGUACAUCGAUCAGGAAAAGGACGGACCAAGAAUAUGUGCGGAUCCACAUGUCGGCAUGGAAAUUGUAGAAUAGAUCUUAACCGUUGAAAUCUUCUUAGAUAUAAAGAUCGAUCGGAUCAACGGCCAGAUGUUUUGAUUUUUUUCGGGAUUUUCUAGUUGUCUAUCUUUUUCUGGUUAUUAUGUCAUGUAUUUUUAGUAUAUAAUAGAUGUCGGCACGCAAAUUUUAGAAUAGAUCUUAACCGUUGAAAUCUUCUUAGAUUUAAAGAUCAAUUGGAUCAAA